GACGAACGCUGGCGGCGUGCUUAACACAUGCAAGUCGAACGGAAAGGCCCUGCUUUUGUGGGGUACUCGAGUGGCGAACGGAUGAGUAACACGUGAGUAACCUGCCCUUGACUUUGGGAUAACUUCCGGAAACUGGGGCUAAUACCUGAUAGGAGCUCCUGCUGCACGGCGGGGGUUGGAAAGUUUCGGCGGUUGGGAAUGGUCUCGCGGCUUAUCAGCUUGUUGGUGGGGUAGUGGAGUACCAAGGCUUUGAAGGGUAGCCGGACUGAGAGGGUGACAGGCCACAUUGGGACUGAGAUACGGCCCAGACUCCUACGGGAGGCAUCAGUGGGGAAUAUUGCGCGAUGGGCGGAAGCCUGAUGCAGCAACGCCGCGUGCGGGAUGACGGCCUUCGGGUUGGAAACCGCUUUCGCCUGUGACGAAGCGUGAGUGACGGUAAUGGGUAAAGAAGCACCGGCUAACUACGUG
rnacentral:rRNA from 1 species